rnacentral:rRNA from 1 species
UACGUAGGCAGCGAGCGUUGUUCGGAGUUACUGGGCGUAAAGGGCUCGUAGGCGGCCAACUAAGUCAGACGUGAAAUCCCUCAGCUUAACUGGGGAACUGCGUCUGAUACUGGAUGGCUUGGAUUCGGGAGAGGAAUGCGGAAUUCCAGGUGUAGCGGUGAAAUGCGUAGAUAUCUGGAGGAAUACCGGUGGCGAAGGCGGCAUCCUGGACCGACAUUGACGCUGAGGAGCGAAAGCCAGGGGAGCAAACGGG